AGCUUGUCAUGUGCUAACCCUGUAGGCACAUACAAGAUUGUUAAUUCUCCUCCUGUUGUUUCCCAUCUUUGGUCAAAAGUUGGGAAAUCUAUCUGUUCCAUUCUUGGCCUUUUAGCCUGUCAGACUCCAUCAAGCUGAACCCACAGGGUCUCUGUGAAGCGGUCCGUGGCUCCCUCAGGGUCUCACUGUAUAGCUCUGGAUGACUGUUCUUGAGAAACAGUCCAGAACAGGAUACGAUCAUGUCAGCCCCAGAUUCUCUUUGCCACUAUUCUGGCACACGGGGGUAGAGGUCAGAGAGAAGUCGGUGUUUGCGCCUUCCCAGGGACAGGAGUUCAAAAGGUCAUCUGGGAAGCUACAAAACACAGCAAAGGAGAUUUGGGGACAUGGAUUUUGUGCUUCCUUAAUGUUUCAUAUUUAGAGAGCUGGACUGUAACUCAGUUUCUCAAAGGCUACCGAGACUUGUUCAUAGAUCCCGAGAAACGGGCUGGUGACUUCAGAAGUGCCACCGGCAGCAGGCAGCACAGUGGAGGACUAGAUUCGCAGGUCCUGGGGGUGUGUGGUCCCCAAACAGCACAGACAAGGAGUUCCCACACCAGCUGGCAGAGGGCUCGUGUUUGCAUCAUCUGCAAAUGCACGGCACCUGUACCUCUGCUAUGGUGCUGGCCUCGGCUCCAUGAACAAGAUCUUCAGAGAAAAUGGCAGAAAAGCAGCGUCAUGCCUAGCCACUUCAGCAGAGGCUCCAAGAGUGUGUAGCCUGCUGGGUCUUCCAAGCCCUGGAGGAGCUGAAAAUGACGGAAAAGGACCAAGAUUGGGGCCACAAGCUAACAGAGAACGCUGGAGAAGAUCUACCUAUCCAGCUACCAACAAAAAGCAUUAGAACAAAGAAUGCUGGAUUAAUAAGUUGUUUCAUUCAUGAAAAAAAAGAAGAAAGAAACAAAAACAGGAAAAAAACCCCUCAAAUUCCCCACCUAGAACCUAGCAUUUACAAGAAGGAAGCUAUGGGGGUAGGGGUGCACUCUGGAGGCAGAGGCAGGUGAAUCUGUGCAAGUUCUAGGCCAGCCUGAUCUACAGAGUGAGUUCCAGGAAGCCAGGACUGUUACACAGAGAAACCUGUCUUGAAGAAAAACAAAAGGAAAAAGUUAGAAAUUUUAGCAUUUGUUUUGAAUAUAAACACAACUCUAUCACUUUUCACGGGGAAUAUAAAAUAGAACAAUUAAGAUAUGAACUGUGAUAAAGAGUUGUGUGGGUGUGGUUUCAUUCUGUCUAAGUGGGUAACUGUAUUCUGCCUUUCUCUUCAUUGGGAAAUGGGAUGGCACACUGUCUACAUAAUGAGAGGAAGUGAGGUGAAUGACCCAGGCAUCACCACACAGCCUUAGGGACCUGUGUAAGGGUUACUUGAGUACAAACAUUGUGUUGCUGUCACAGGUGAUCUGAUAACCCAGACAACUCCGGAGUAACUACCGGGCAGGUGCCAUAUACUGGGUGGACAUUCUGGAUGGAGAGAUAGUUCAUGUCUUGGGCAGGAGGGAGCCGGACAGUGCAAGAUUUCAUGCUACUAAACAUGCUUAGCAAUUAAAAACCUAUGGACUGUUUAUUUCUGGAAAUUUCCAUUGACUGUUUUUUGGACAGUGGUUGAUGGAGAAUAACUAAAACCUCAGAAAACAAGUCUUAGACAGAAGGGUACUAUUGUGACUUGUCUAAACUUGAGAUAAGCAGCUGUUGAAUAGUGCUAUGCCAGGGUAACAUUUGUAGCUAGGGGAGAGUCUUCGUGAUCAGAUUGCAUACUCUGUUAAAUUACUCCAGCUUAGAAAUUCUUGACAGCAUCUCUAUAAACAGAAAUGGCAAAAUAGAAGCUUAAAAGUGCAAAAACCAUCCGGAAUCUACUCCAAGAAAAAACCCUGUAAAAGCUCAGGCAAUAGAGAAGCCAG